UCUGUCUCUUGCGCCUCGAUCGCAAUGGCGCUGCGCGAUUAGCCGCAAGCGCUGGGGUUUUAGCUAGAUCUUGGCGCCGCUGUGAGAUUUUCGAGCAUUCGAAGUCCCGCCUUCUACUGCUCUUGAGAGAUUUUAGUCCCUUUUGAGAGAUUUCUCGAGCCUCGUGACGAAAUUUUCUUUUGACCUUAGUGGAUGGCUAGCUCUUUGUUUCACUAGCUUCGUUUACACGUAGAUGAGCUAAAGUUCUCGGUCUUUUGGAAAUUUCUACAGCCUCGUGCCGAGAAAUUUCGUUUUGAGCUUUCCAUGGCUAGCUCUUUCUUGCUUCUUUUUCGUUCUUCGCAUGAAGACGAGCUAAAAGAUCUCGGUCUUAGGACUAGUGCUUUUCCCUUCUUGCUGCAUUUUCAUUUUAAGACAGCACUUUCCCAGUGUAAGUCUAGAGUUUGUCGACCAUUAAAGAUCGGCUUCUGGGAAUAUUGGCGCUGGUAGUGGUCCCGAAAAGGCUGCGGAUAUCUCAAUCAGGAACUUAUUACAGCGACGACUGCUGGUGGCUCUGGCAACAAGCGCGGGCGACAUGGUGUCGCAGCUGCAACUCUGCAGGGAUUACUAAUGUGGCAAACAGAUAAGUAGCGAAGCGGCAUCUCUUGCUUGCUCCAUUCCAUUUUACGUCCAGUCUUUAUGGGCACAGCGUGAUGUUUACGUCUUUGGUACUACUCUCUGUCUAUCUGAAGUCACCAAAGUCUUUUUUUUUUCUUUUUUCUGAAGUGUUUGGGUGGGAAGCAAGAAUAAAGGACAAGGACUAGUUGUGCUUUA